rnacentral:snoRNA from 2 species
CCCCUCUCAGGGUCACAUCUGGAGAGUUGCCAGUCCUCUACCAGUCUCCACCACGGGAGGGAGAGUCAAGCAGAGGCUAAUCCAUGCCAUUCCUAGUUUGGUCAGUGGCUAGCGAGUGGAAGGCAAUCUGCUACAAAC